GACGAACGCUGGCGGCGUGCUUAACACAUGCAAGUCGAACGGUAAGGCCCCAGCUUGCUGGGGUACACGAGUGGCGAACGGGUGAGUAACACGUGGGUGACCUGCCCCGCACUUCGGGAUAAGCCUGGGAAACUGGGUCUAAUACCGGAUUCGACCGCACCGUGAGGGUGUGGUGGAAAGUUUUUCGGUGUGGGAUGGGCCCGCGGCCUAUCAGCUUGUUGGUGGGGUAAUGGCCUACCAAGGCGGCGACGGGUAGCCGGCCUGAGAGGGUGGACGGCCACAUUGGGACUGAGACACGGCCCAGACUCCUACGGGAGGCAGCAGUGGGGAAUAUUGCACAAUGGGCGGAAGCCUGAUGCAGCGACGCCGCGUGGGGGAUGACGGCCUUCGGGUUGUAAACUCCUUUCACCAUCGACGAAGGUUUUCUGACGGUAGAUGGAGAAGAAGCACCGGCUAACUACGUG
rnacentral:rRNA from 1 species